rfam:Myotis lucifugus cont2.36019, whole genome shotgun sequence.
GGUGGUUCUCAGGUAACAUAUCCCAGAAUCGGGCUCCCUUCUCUCUGGUUCCAGGGUGUAUCACCUGAGAACGCCA